AUUGAACGCUGGCGGAAUGCUUUACACAUGCAAGUCGAGCGGCAGCGCGGGGGCAACCCUGGCGGCGAGCGGCGAACGGGUGAGUAACAUAUCGGAACGUACCCAGUCGUGGGGGAUAACUAUCCGAAAGGAUAGCUAAUACCGCAUACGUCCUGAGGGAGAAAGCGGGGGAUCGCAAGACCUCGCGCGAUUGGAGCGGCCGAUAUCGGAUUAGCUAGUUGGUGGGGUAAAGGCUCACCAAGGCGACGAUCUGUAGCGGGUCUGAGAGGAUGAUCCGCCACACUGGAACUGAGACACGGUCCAGACUCCUACGGGAGGCAGCAGUGGGGAAUUUUGGACAAUGGGCGCAAGCCUGAUCCAGCCAUGCCGCGUGAGUGAAGAAGGCCCU
rnacentral:rRNA from 1 species